rnacentral:lncRNA from 1 species
CACUUGUAACACUCAGGCCAAAAGGCAGUAGGAGUGAGUUACUAAGGACUUGCUGGUAAGGGUGAACAAAAUCAAAUCCAACACAUUUUGUGUAUCAAAACACUCUUGGGCAAAGGCAUGUGUGGUGGCUCAAGUCUGGAGUGCUAGCUACUCAGGAUGGUGAGACAGGAGGAUCACAAAUUUGAAGACAAACGGGGAAACUUAGUGAGACUCUGUUUUCAAAAUAAAAUAAAAAUGAUCUGGGGGUAUUGUCAGUGCUCCAUGGCUUCAAUCGCCAUUUUUUUUUUUUAAAUACUGACAGGCAAAAUCUGCAUGAGUCAAAAUCAACAUACUGGGAUGUCUCUAUAGCAUUUCUUGCCACAGAGCAGAACCUGUCACUAGGAAGAUCUUGGGUUAAAAGCAGAAACAUAAACAAAGAACAACAAUAACAAAAAGCUCUUCAUUGUGGGUCCUUUCACUGUACAGCAUAUUCUAUGGCAGCAGAAAAACAGAAAUCUAUGUUUUCUUUCUAGCACCUUUCUUCUUGUGAGAUCAGGAGAGAGUAUCUUUACAUCUUACAAUUCACGUGGUGUGCGAGGUCUUUCAAAGCAUUUUCUGAAACAGUUUUAUUUAAUCAUCACAAUCAUAUUGUGAAGAAAGGUGUUUUUGUACAUGGGAAGCUGAAGGUAAGUGACACGUCAGGUCGUGAGCUCCACUGCCUGUUGGGCCUUCCUACCCUGACCCCACAGUGUUGACAACCAUGUACUUCACCCUGUAUUUAGAACUUCCCUUGGGGGGGGCUCUGUCAGAUGGGAUCUUCCCUUAUUCAGGGGCAACUGAUGCUGAGUCUCUAUUCAAGUUGCACCAAAAAUUUGGGUUGCUCCCAAAAUCCUGGGGGAAAUGAUGUUUCCUCUAAGGAGGAAACAGGGUGGGGGCUGUUAGUCAGACCUCACAUCAUUUGCACCGGGUGAUGGGCGUCUUUGAAGUUGACCAGCCCCACUGUAGGUGGGUGGAGGGUGCAGAUCCCUUCCAUUCCUUUCUCUACUGCGUCUCCUUUUGUCUUUUGUGCAAGUCCAUUUCACAAAGUAGAGAAAUACGACCAGUGGAGUGUGGUGAUUCACAAGUCAAUGGCAAGGGUUUGCUUUGCCUAUUUGAAGGGUUUCUUUCUGAGCCUGAGAAGAUCGGUGAACGGUGGUAGCUAGUGUUCUCCACAGUGUAUGCUGAAACCUUCAUCAAAGGAGCUUGCAAAGCAGAAGCCGAGACCCUACUUAAGAAGAAGGGCAGUUAUUAAUGCCCAGAUGUGAAAGCAUACAUUGGAGAUUUUUAUUCUAGUUGUUUUUGAUGAAAAUAAGUCCCCAUGUAUUUACACAAGUGGUCUCCUGGAAAUUAUAAUUGUCUAGGGUAAGAUGGUAUAAAUAUUCUAAGAUGGAUUAAAAAAAAAGGGUUUCCCAGCAAUAGAAUAAUUACCUUUCCAGUACAACAAGCAAACUUCUAAAAGGGUAAUAGGAAUUGAGGAUUAUGCAUCUGAUUAUAUGAAGAAGGACA